rnacentral:rRNA from 1 species
GCGAAUACCGGAGAAUGUUAUCACGGGAGACACACGGCGGGUGCUAACGUCCGUCGUGAAGAGGGAAACAACCCAGACCGCCAGCUAAGGUCCCAAAGUCAUGGUUAAGUGGGAAACGAUGUGGGAAGGCCCAGACAGCCAGGAUGUUGGCUUAGAAGCAGCCAUCAUUUAAAGAAAGCGUAAUAGCUCACUGGUCGAGUCGGCCUGCGCGGAAGAUGUAACGGGGCUAAACCAUGCACCGAAGCUGCGGCAGCGACACUAUGUGUUGUUGGGUAGGGGAGCGUUCUGUAAGCCUGUGAAGGUGGCCUGUGAGGGUUGCUGGAGGUAUCAGAAGUGCGAAUGCUGACAUAAGUAACGAUAAAGCGGGUGAAAAGCCCGCUCGCCGGAAGACCAAGGGUUCCUGUCCAACGUUAAUCGGGGCAGGGUGAGUCGACCCCUAAGGCGAGGCCGAAAGGCGUAGUCGAUGGGAAACAGGUUAAUAUUCCUGUACUUGGUGUUACUGCGAAGGGGGGACGGAGAAGGCUAUGUUGGCCGGGCGACGGUUGUCCCGGUUUAAGCGUGUAGGCUGGUUUUCCAGGCAAAUCCGGAAAACCAAGGCUGAGGCGUGAUGA